AUUAUCGCAUCGUUGUUGCUUAGUAGCAGCGUUUUCCAUCUUCCGGAAUGCAUUUCACUUGAGUUUGGUUCGUAUUGUUUCAUAAUUUGUUAUUUAUUGUACUCUGAAAUGAAGCUCAAAUUAUUGAAGUAAUCAUAUUUUCGACAGCGAGUUCUUGGAUCGACAGCGAGUGUAUUAAAUGAAGCUUCAGCUAAUCUCCAGCAAUCUGUUUGCAAUUAUUUUAUUAAUUGAAAAAAGUAAACAUUUGAGACAAGUGUCGAUAAGAGUUUGUGAGAUGUUUUUCAUGGCAUGAUAGUUGACUAUCGAUUCCGUUGUAGCGACUCGUAUUUGAUAUGGUCAUUGUUAUAUGGAAAAAGCCUCCUUUCUUUGAAGAAUUUCAGCGAAAUUUGGAAUUGUCUGGAGAUUUAUCAUCAUCGUUGUUGCGUUGAGUGUGUUUAUCAUGAUUUAAACUAUCAAGUCUUUAAUCUUAUUGGUGUUUCCGGCGAAAAAAAACAAACAACCCCGAAAAUCGUUCAUUGCAUUUAAUCUUUGAACAGCUUGGUCUUUGAUUGAUGUCUUCGAAUGGGGCUCGGGAUACACAGAGAAAUUCGGGCUGUAUUACGUCAAUAUGUCAUCUCCACGUCGAGAACGAAUCCCCAAGAAGUCGACACAAUUUUUGACGGCAUCAUUGACGACAUCACGCCGCAUUCCAAAAGUCUACUGAUUGCACUUUUGUUUGUUGUUGUCAAAUAUAUGAUAACGAAAUGAAUUUAAAUUGGGACCAUUUGAAAUAAUCUUAUUUGUUGGUUACUUUAAUCGAUUUGAUGUAUCACGAAUCAAACUCUUAUCAGAAUUUCUCGAUUGAAAUGUAUGAAUCGUUCGAAAAUUAAACACAAAGAUAUUCCUCACUCGAAAAGAUUAAUUCAUAGAAUUGUUCCGCUAAUAAUGAAAAGAACUUGGUUAGAUUAAAACUAAACCUAAAUUAAAUUGACACAUUUCAAACACAAGUGUUUUUUAUUUACAAAUUCGAAGGCAGUUCGUUCUGUUGCCAGCUGAUAAAACGUCAUUUCUAACGAAAGAUGUUUCAUCAACAGUUUGUCAUCAGCUGUCAACGAGAAUAGACGUAGAAAGUAAAUAUGUUCUUGCGUCGAUUAUUUUCUAUUUUCUCGAUCUUUAUAGUAGGAGCAUCAGCUGUAAAUUCAUCAACAAAUGAUUCCAAUCUAGUUAUUUCCGGAAGGGUUUCUAUUUGGUGCCGCAACAGCUGCCUAUCGAAUCGAAGGAGGUUGGAAUUCGGAUGGCAAAGGACUAAGUACUUGGGAUAAAUUCCUACAUUUGCAUCCGGACAAAAUAGAUGACCAUCAGAAUGGAGACGUUGCCGCCAAUUCUUAUGAGUAUUACUUAGACGAUAUUGAAGCAGCAAAAAGUUGAAAUUUGGAUUUCUAUCGUUUUUCCAUUGCGUGGUCUCGUGUGUUGCCAACUGGUGAUAUAACACAAGUGAAUGAAAAAGGCAUCGAAUACUACAACAAAUUGAUCAAUAAA